ACCGGCAGCUAGCUCUCUGCAACUCGCACUGAAGCUAAGCAGGGCUACGCCCUGUUAGUACCUGGAUGGGAGACCAAAUGGGAAAGCUAGGUUGCUGUCGGAA
rnacentral:rRNA from 1 species